AUAAAAAAAGAGUGUAGCAUUUUUCGGUACUAUCUAGGUAUUCCUCGAAACUAAACAGUCGAAAAUCUCAUAGCUUGAGCUCUCCGAAAUUACGUUGUAAUGUGCUUUAAUUUCUUUUGUAUAUGUAGGCUAAAAUAAAUAUACAUGAAGUUUCUACUAAGCCAUUCGGAGAACUCUGUUUCGAUACUCCUUCGUUGGACAAACCUUUGAAAAUCACAAGACAUUUCUGAGUCAACAGCGUAUUAAUUGCUCGAUAAAUUUCUUUUUCUGCUUUUAGAAUAAGUGCAUAAUAAUAAAAUACACUGCAAAGGAAUUUUUCAAAUGUUUAGGGUUAUACAUCCCCCUUACCUGAAUCCCUUAAGAAAUAGAUAAAUGGAAGUGCGGCGCCCCUCUGAUAUUAUAACCAUUUAAAAUUAUACAUCUAUAUAAUC